AAUUCGAAGAUACACGAAGAACCUUACCUGGCCUUGACAUGGUAGGAACCCUUAAGAGAUUAGGGGGUGCUAGCUUGCUAGAACCUACACACAGGUGCUGCACGGCUGUCGUCAGCUCGUGUCGUGAGAUGUUGGGUUAAGUCCCGCAACGAGCGCAACCCUCGUCCUUAGUUGCUAACAGUUCGGCUGAGCACUCUAGGGAGACUGCCUUCGCAAGGAGGAGGAAGGUGAGGACGACGUCAAGUCAUCAUGGCCCUUACGGCCAGGGCUACACACGUGCUACAAUGGGGCGUACAGAGAGCUGCGAUACCGCGAGGUGGAGCCAAUCUCUUAAAGCGUCUCUCAGUUCGGAUUGUUCUCUGCAACUCGAGAACAUGAAGCUGGAAUCACUAGUAAUCGCAGAUCAGCUAUGCUGCGGUGAAUACGUUCCCGGGCCUU
rnacentral:rRNA from 1 species